rnacentral:lncRNA from 10 species
UGUUUGUAUUUUUAGUAGAGACGGUGUGUCACCAUGUUGGCCAGGAUGGUCUCGAUAUCCUGACCUCGUGAUCCGCCCGCCUCAGCCUCCCAAAGUGUGUAGAACAGGUUUUAAAGACGGUCCUCAGUCAUCAACACUUUUGUUUUCAGACCCUCCCUCUCUCGCUGACGGAGGCAAGUGGAGAGAGGAGGACCGGAGGCUCGCAGAGGCGUCAGCGGCAGAGGAAACCUCGCACCCGAACCCGCAGCGCGGCGCUCUCCCCAAAGAAGCAUUUGCCUGGAGCCCCUAAGAGGAGCAAGACCUGGACCUCGAGCACUUUGGAUUCCAGUCAGGAUAGAUCGAUGGACAGAUGGAAAAGAGGAAUACACAAGUGCUGGGAGAAUCCUCAAGAAAGGAGAAAGGAGUGGCGCGCCCAGGAGUCUCGUCCUGACACACUGGGAAAUGAAAUUUGGGUUUGGCGAGUUAUGGCCAAAAAGCUGCCCAAAGUACUUGAGAGCCGCCUUGGAGAGUGGCGCGGGGUGCCUGGCAAGGUGAGACCGGCCUGCGGGGGCGCGGGCUUUUCCUCAGCAGCUCUACGCCCGCCUGGCCCGGCGCCUGAGGGGUAGCGACGCAGCCCACGUCGCUCUCAGAGCUUGCCGGGAGGGGCGUCACGUGACUCCGGGUGCGGUCCCCGCGCUGAAGCUCUGGAGCGAACCCGAACCCUCCUCUCAGGCCCGCCCCCUGCGGCCCGCAGCGGGCAGGUUGGCCUGGAUGCCGGCGACAGAGAGACUGGGGCGGCGCCCGGGGCCCCAGAGAGCCAAGACGGCGCUCACCGGAUAGAGGUAGAGCACGGCUCCCACCAACGCCAGCAAGAAGGUAACGGCGAAGAUCGCGAAGUCCAACAUGGUUCUGCCGCCCAGGGAGCCACGUCUCGGAUCGGCCGCUCCAGCAGCAGCGCCUCAGCCUGGCCCAAUUUAAGGCAUAGCGUGUGGGCGGGGGCACCCCGCGGGACCCGGAAACCAACGGGCCGCUGGGGGCGUGACCGAGGCCUGCGGCCGGCGCCAGAGGAAAGAGCAAUGGAUCGCCGAGGAGCCGGGGCGCGGGUUCCUGAGCGCAGCAGGCCGAGGCUGAGGCCGCCUAGCGCCAGCCUCCACCGCAAGGCGGGGAUUUCGGUGCACACGAUUUCAGACAGAAUAUGCCCGCGACUUCGGACCGGGUUGCUGGCGAAAGCAGAGCCCAGCUUUCUGAGAAAAGUUAGGAGUUAGUAGUGCUCUGUCCGCCCAACAGUUUUCGCAAUGGAUUCAGAAUUAAAACCUCUAAACCGAUGAUUUUCGAAGAGUGGUCCCGGUACCAGCUGCAUCAACGUCGCCCGGGAGCUCGUUAGAGAUUCAGAUUAUCGAUGCCGGGCGCGGUGGCUCCACCUGUAAUCCCAGCACCUUGGGAGGCUGAAGCGGGAGGAUCGCUUGAGCCCAGGAGUUUGAGACCAGCGUGGGCAACAUAGUGAGACCCCAGUCUCUACAAAAAAAAAAAAAAAAAAAAAAAAAAAAUUAGCCUACAGUGGUGGCGCUUGCCUGUGGCCCCAGCUGCUCCGGAGGCUGAGGCUGGAGGAUCACUUUAGCCGGGGAGGCAGAGGCUACAGUGAGCCGAGAUGGCACGACUGCACUCCAGCCUGGGCGACAGGGCGAGACCCUGUCUCAAAAACAAAACAAAACAAAACAAAAGGAAAACAAAAUAAAAAGAUUCUCGAUCCCAAACUAGACCUACUGAAUCAAACACUCGGGGUGGGCAGGGGUAGGGGGCGCGUACAACAAUCUGUUUGAACAGAGCCCUCCCGGGGACACUGUUACACACUUAAAUUUGAGUGAAAACCACCACUGAUCUAAGCGGGACAGGGAAGUGUCUGGGAGUAAAACAAGAGUAGAUACGCCUUGUUUCGCAGAAUUUCUGUCUGAAGUACUAGUAAAUGUGAUUCUUUGACACUUUCUGGUGAGCGGAGGCUGCACACUGUUCAGGUUUCCUUGCUCUGUUAACUCUGACUUUCGGUAAAUUGCUUCAGUUUUCUAAGCUUCCAUUUCCUUCUAUGUAAAAAAGUGAAAAUAAUACCACAUGGAGUUGCCUGUAGGUUAAAUUACAUAUUUUAUGAAAAUCACUUAGCACAGCUCCUGGCAAAACCGAAUAAGUGCUAUCUACGUCAGCAUUUGGCGUUUGUUGCCCUGGGCAUAAAAUACCCUAGGACCCCUCUUUCUAUUUCGCCUGGCUCAGAAGUUUUGACGUGGCUACUGAAAUACAAGACAAGGCCUGCUACUUACUAGUGCUGCUUUUAGUGAAAGUGUGCUAAAAGUAUUUAUAGAUUUUAUAGCUUUAAUAAUAUAAAAUGUCAAGAACAGGCAGCAAUUUGGCAAGAGAAAUUCCAGAUUGCAUUUUACAGCUUCUAUGAUAAAUGACUGUUACAUAAGCAGGAAACAUACCUCAUUGAAAAUGGCAACUCUUUUGGCAUCUAUAGCAAAUAUAAUGAAACAUGCUGUUUAAUAUUUCACUUGGCAGAAAUUGUAUUUUUAAGUCUUUCUCUGCAUAUAAAUGUGCUUUAAACUGUCGUAUGUUCAAAGUUCAUUUUUAAGUCUCUUGUUCAGAAUUUUAAAGAUAUUUCUUGUCAAACUGAUGUUCCCAAUAGGUUUUCAAAACAGUAAAUGUAAGAGUUUUUUGUUUGUUUGUUUUGUUUGUUUGUUUUUGAGACGUAGUCUCCCUCUGUAGCCCAGGCUAGAGUGCAGUGACGGGAUCUCGGCUCACUGCAACCUCCGCCUCC